rnacentral:lncRNA from 1 species
UGCCCCUGCCUAAUUAUUAAAACCUCAUUUCUUUCUUUUCAAAAUCGACCAAUUAAGAAACGACACGUGGCAAUGUCAAAAGAGUGUCACAUGUUUGGUGUCAAAGAAGCAUUUUCAUUUUCUUUAUUUAUUUUCCCCUAUAAUAAGCCAAAUCUCAUUCUCCUAACCAAUCUUCUUCAUGCAAAAGCCCAUCAUCUAUCUACUUCUCAUAUGAACAUACAAAGCUCUCAUGUAGACAAUUAUUUUGUGACUCUAACCCAUUCCCACAAGCUUUCUUGCGUUUACAUUUUUAACCACUCAUCCCUCCGUAUAACUACCAAUACACAUCCUUCUAAUAUCUCUUCACUAAAUAACCUCUUUCAACCCUGAAUAACCUCCCAAACUAUCACUCUAUUUCCUUUCAUCUACGGUCAACCCUAUACCUCAUUCCAUCCCUUCUACAACUCAUCAUGCACUCGCAUCCACACUCACACCAUAACAACCCACACACAAACUCUCCCUUCUUUGUGGGACCUUUGAAAAUUGAGAAAAAUCUCGGAUUGAAGGGAAACAAAUGCGAAUACAAUAUUAAUAAGUUAAACUGAAAUAGAAAAUAGUGAAUACAAAUUGAAACUGUUUAUUUUAAUAUAUUUUCUGUCCAAACUUAAGAGUCAAUAGAUACAAAACUAUGUACUUUUUAUAUACUAAAAGUG